AAAAAUCCACAAUCCCUUGUUAAUGGAAGCUUCAAGCAGAUUCUCCUAGCUUUCGUUGCAAUCAUCUUCGAAUCAAUUAAUGGCUUCUCUCAAAUUGAACCAACAGCUUCUCAUCUUCGAACUCAAUAUCGUCCUCUGUCAAAAUGCUGGAACUCAAAAAUUCCAUGAAAGAUGACGACACUGAAGCAGAAAUUCCAUGAUUUACAGGGGAAUCAGUGCAGCCAAAAACCCAAUUUUGAGUUUCUAAUCCAUUGAAAUCAAGACCCAGAAGAAAUCUUGCCCAGUUUUGAGCUUACUCACCACACAUCAACAAAAUCAAGGAACAAUUAAGCUAAAAACUCAGAUAAUGUCUCCAGAACAGAACCGGCGGGACUUGGGUUCGAUCUGCCACCUCUGGAUUCCGUUCGAAAUCUUCUUGAUGCUGAUCGGAGGUGGGGAUGGAGAAAGAGGGAGAGAAACGAGUUUGCGAUCUGCAGAGCAGAUGGCAAGAUGGGUUGGAGAAAAGCCAGCUUGCUUUAGUUUUAG
rnacentral:lncRNA from 1 species